rnacentral:lncRNA from 1 species
CCUCGUCCCGAUUGAGAUGUCGAAUUCAUCCUGUGGCAUCUUCAGCUGCUCGUAAAACUCUGCCCAGAAGCGGCGCGGCCACGUUUCCAUCGCACGCAGCCAUCCCUUUCUAGGCUUUAAUCACCCGAACCUCCGCCCUCACCAAACUGCAUUGGACAUAUAAGGCAUUUUUGUGUUUUGCGCAUAGUGCGCAGCAGGCAGCACCUCCGAUACCUUUUGAAGGGUAUUACUUAAAGGGUACUACUUAAGCAACGUCUCACCGUCUGGAAAGGACCGCAGGAGGGGAAGGCAUUGAAGGAAGUCGAGGCUGGAUCGCUGGGCGCGCUGUAUGUGCAACAUCUCUCUAUGUCCAAAAUGCCAAACAUUUUCUUAUCCUCCCCUAGACUGUAACAAUCGCAUCUCCCCUAGAUUUCCUUCCAGUAGGGAUGGCCUCCAAACAUGCUUCUAUAAUCACGUGGAAUGGUGCCCUUCUUUUGCUCACGUUGCCUGGAGACAUUGUACUUGCAGCCCUCUUGCAGCGCUGGAGCGGGCGCUACCUCCGACGACGUUUCGGCCCACGGGUCAGGUGCAGUAAUGGAAGCAGGGAACUACUGCUCUACUUACUUCUUAUAUUCAUGCAGAACAUGUUCUCCUUAGCGGUUUAAUGAGAGUUUAGUCUGCUCGCAGCGGUCUGGAGAUCCGGUCAAGUCGUAUGUGCGCACGUACUUGUCGUAAAAAAUCCCGAGGAGGUCGCACAGCAGUUCCGUCCCUUCCGCGAUGUAGUAGCGCCGAAUUUCUGUUCUGAGUUCUGGCCGGUAUCAAGGAACUUUGCAGUAGCUUCAUGUUGCUUGCAGAGCAAAAUACGCGCGAGCCGCAAAGCCGUGUCGGAUCGAACAGCUUCCACUCGGCUCACAUGGGAUAUAUCAAUUUUAAUCCGGAGUUG